rnacentral:rRNA from 1 species
UACACUCCUGCGGGAGGCAGCAGUGGGGAAUAUUGCACAAUGGGCGCAAGCCUGAUGCAGCGACGCCGCGUGGGGGAUGAAGGCCUUCGGGUUGUAAACUCCUUUCGCUAGGGACGAAGCUUUUUUGUGACGGUACCUAGAUAAGAAGCACCGGCUAACUACGUGCCAGCAGCCGCGGUAAUACGUAGGGUGCGAGCGUUGUCCGGAAUUACUGGGCGUAAAGGGCUCGUAGGUGGUUUGUCGCGUCGUCUGUGAAAUUCUGGGGCUUAACUCCGGGCGUGCAGGCGAUACGGGCAUAACUUGAGUGCUGUAGGGGUAACUGGAAUUCCUGGUGUAGCGGUGAAAUGCGCAGAUAUCAGGAGGAACACCGAUGGCGAAGGCAGGUUACUGGGCAGUUACUGACGCUGAGGAGCGAAAGCAUGGGUAGCGAACAGGAUUAGAUACCCGAGUAGUCCCA